GGGGGGGCGGCGGGCGGCGGGGGAGGCGGCGGAUCGACGCGGCGAUCGGAAGGGUUAGGCACGAGAGAAGGAGAGGGAGUGACAGAGAGAAAGGGAGAUAGGGUUAGGGGAGAUUUUUUUUUUCAUAAAUCUUUGCCGGCGACCCGAUAAAAAGCCGUCGGCAUAGGUGUCUUUGCCGGCGGCCCUUACUAAAGCCGCCGGCAAAGACCAUUUUUCCUUUUUUUUUCUUUCCUUACUUAUUUACAUCACAAACUUGGGAUUUCUGGCCACUUUAAUUUGACUUACUGUUUUACUAGAAAAUGUGUGCAAGGAAAACCAAAAAUUUAACUCAAGUCCUCGCUAAUUUCUGCUCCGUCGAUUCUAAAUCAGACGUCACCCUCUCCUGCGGGCCUCUUGACGUCUGCGGGCUAGCUUUUCACCAAAACUUGGGUUUUCAUGCCACUUUACUCUAUCAUAGUGUUGUAUUAGGACAUGCCAACAUGUUGUCGCACGGGGCUCCGACACCGGGGGCGUGCUUGCACACCCCCUUUUAGGUUCGGCAGGGGCGUCGGGGAUCGCUCCGGCGAUCGCCGGCGUGGCCGAUGCCGUACGUAGUCCGAAGAGAGGUACACCCAAGGUGCACGCAAGCAAAGAACUCAUGCACGAGAGUUUUUAUCCAGGUUCUGGCCACCCGGAGGUGUAAAACCCUACGUCCUGCUUGUCUGAGCUUAUAUUGUCACCGAAACCAAGUGUUCACAAGUUUCCCGGGGGGAGUCCCUGGACGCUCUCUCCCCUUUCAGCUAAGUGCUACUUGCUAUUCUCGGCUAAUGCUAAUAUGAAUCCGGACGAACCGAUCAGAACGAACCAACCGGGCAGAACCAACCAACCCUUUGACCGUUGGCGGGGGUCCUCCUUUUAUACUCAAGGGGAUGCCACAGGUGCCACGCUGCAUGGGCUACAAAUGUCGAGCGGAGAGGCAUACAGCUCUCCCUCGGUGAGCUGCUGGCACGCAUGGACGCCACCUCCGCCUCUAGGGGUCUAAAACCCUAGAGUAGGAUUGGACACCCACUGUUCCUU
rnacentral:lncRNA from 1 species